CCCUCAGCUUUGCAAACCCUGCUGAGAGCUGUGGCUCCUGUUCAGGGCUGGCUGGGGAGCCCCAGAGGGAGGGGUGGUGGGGGUUGGUGGGCUCAGACCCACUCCACAGUGCUGUGCUGGGUGUGGGCCAGGAGGAGACCUUGGAGUAAGAGUCCAGUGCUGUCCUUCAGAGCAGAUGUGGACCUGGAGAGGAUCCUGCAUUCCUUUACUAAGAAAGCACAGUGCAAGUGGAACAGCUGGGGGUUGAGAAAGCACAGUCCGAUUUGCUCUUGGAGAACCCACAGGGAUGAAUCUUUACAUGUGUCCUUUCCCAUUCAGAGAGAGGCCUGAAGGCGAGGGGCUCUGCCUGGCUGUUGGGUGGGAUGUGGGUCCUCCGGGCACAGGAUCCACAGGCAGAGGAGGGAUGUGACUCUAAAUGCCCUGGCUGGAGUGGCAGGGACUGUGGUCCUGCAUAGGGCUGGACACCAAGCGAGGCCCUGAGGGUUCACAAGGGCUCAGAGCAGCUGCUGUGGGGUGCAGCCUGCAGAGCCAAGUCUGGUUGAACCAAACCACAGCAAUUUCAGGGGCUGGCUGGUUUGGGGCAAAUCCCCCUUAUCCCCACUCCCAGAGUGAGGAUGUGCUGCUUCCCUGGGGACACCCCCAGCCUAAAGCUCCAUCCCCGGGGUGGGCUGUGGAACAAGGCUGCAGCUCUGGAGCAGCGUCUGGGGAAGAGAGGAGCAGGCAGGGCGGGACUGUGGGACUCUGCCAUGGGAAGAGAUGAGCAUGGGACACCAAGCAGGGACUGGAGCUGGUGCUCCCUGCACUCUGUGCAGCUCCGUGGGAUGGCCGUGGGCACCCCUCAGAGGUGGCAGGGGACUGUGUGUGGCCGUGGGGAGCCCCACCGGCCUGUCUGGGGACUUGUACAUCCCCAGCUUGGCAGGAACAUGGUCGAAUGAGGGAUGAAGGUAGGCAUGAGGCAUGCAGGUGUCGGUGCCUGUGGAGAUGCUGGAACACCUCAUCCCAGCUCCGGGCUGGCCCCGGGAACUCCGUGUCCAGCCCAGAGGUGGGGCCGCUCCUCUCCUGGGGCACGGCUGGUGGCACGUCCCAUCCUGGGUGCCCCGCCAGCCUGGCUGCUGUGCCGAGCUGGCCCUCAGGGCUGUCCCGGCUCCGGGCGAGGCGGUGACCGCAGCGGCAGCAUCAGCGCUGUCUCGCAGCUCCAUCUAGCGCUGCGGGAUGGGCACGGCCCCGCUGCCCCCGGAGCCGCCGUGGCUGUCCCCCGCCCUGGGUGGCGCUGCCAAGGCCAACCUGCCAGGAGAGCCGGCCAGGCUGGUGGUGACGGGGAUGAACAGGCGGCACAGCGUGGCUGCUGGCCCGGGGCAGCCGGAACUGCCUCCCCCGAGCUCCUACUCUGUGCCAGGGAAUUUCCUGCAAGGAUUCCGGGAAACGUCGAGGGGCGCAGACGUUCCCAGUUCCUGAGCCAAAUGUAUCUGGGCUCAGCUGCCGGGUUUGCCACCUCCUCCCAUGGAAAUUGGGCCUCUGCCCUCUCCUUGGAACACUUGCUUCUCUAUCAGCCAGGUGGCUCCAGCUCUGUCAGUGCCUCACCCUCGGGGCCUUCACGUCACUUCUGCAUCCCCUGCAGUUUCUUGGGGCCCAUCUUCUGUACCUGGUGAGAGUGUGAUCCCUUCCCACAGCUUGUCACUGUUCCCCUUUCUCACAUUCAGGGCAAUGUCAGACCUUUCCAGCCUGGCUUUGGGGACACCAGGAUCUCAGCACCAUUACAGGGUCCUCUCAUCCCCUUGCUCUGUGUCCCCUGCUUGUCUCAGCUUGUCACCCCUUCUGGGUGCCUGCCACUCUCCACACCCUGCCUGGCACUGAGGUGCAGGCAGGAUUCUGGUGAGGGGGGGUGGUGCAGGAAGGAUUUUGGCUCAGAGCUGGAUGCCAUAAGAAUGGAAUGCUCUUCCAAAGGGGCUGUGGUGAUGGUUGGCCCCUCUCUUGGAGCACUGCAGAUGUGGCUGUCAGACCUGCAGUGGGGUGAGGCAGCUGCUGAGCCCAACAGGGAUUGCAGCCAGGUCCUGUAGCACUGAGGGCUGGUGGGCAGGUGCUCCCUAGGGCAGGAGGAAUUGGACACCUUGGACUGAAAAAAGGGUGCUUUGAAUCCUGUAUUUGCUCCAGCUGCCCUCCUCCUGUCCUUGGGGAGAGAUGGAACUGUGCUCAGGUCACCUGGCAGUGAAAUCCCUGUGUCUGAGUGGUUGAGUGCCUGCUCAGGGCUCUGCCUGCUCUGAUUUGGCAACCCAGGGGCGGGAUCUGUGCCCCCAAAAAGGAGCAGGGGACUCAGACCUGCCGAGGCCUCCUGUCUCCUCCCAGUGCUGCUGAACUGGAUGGCACUGGGUGAGAUGGGACGAGAUAUUGCUGAGCCCGUUGUCACCGCUCUGUGCUCGCUGUCCCCUUGCCCUGCCCGUUGUCACCGCUCUGUGCCCGCCGUCCCCACGCCCUGCCCGUUGCCUGCCCGCGCCGCCGGCACCUGCGGGAAGGUAAGAGUAGCAAAGCAGACACCGAACAUAACGUGGCCCUGGGCUGUUUGUGCGCCUUUUGUUCGGCAGCAGCUUUCAUGAAUCAGCUCAUUAAGCGCAUUAGGAUGGCUCUGCCGCCCCGCCUGAGCCUUGUUUGGGCGGGGCAGAUUUGGGGCACGGGCCAGGAGCCCCGGUGGCUUUGCCGGGCGGGCGGGCAGCUGAGGGCUCCCAGAGCAGCCCUUAGGGUGGGUGACAGCCUGAAGAGCUGCUGGCCAUGGGUGCUGAGGGUGUGAGAGCCUGGUGCGUGCCGUGGAGAGCGGGAGCCGGCCCAGUUCUCCUCACCUUGAUGGCAGCACACAGGGAAGGGUCUCUCACACCCAGUGCAGGGCCCUGCUUGGUUGUUCCAUUGCCAUCAGCUGUGCUUCAGGGAGACUUACAGUGUGAUGGACCCCAGAACUGUGCAGGGAGCUCCCAUGAAGCCAAAAGGCUGUUGUGCAUCACCCUCCUCCCUCGCUGCUGUGCAACAGCCCAGCUCGGAGUGCUCCCAGGCCAAGCCAUGGCUGGAGGGUGAUGAGGAUGGAGCUUCACGCCAAUCUCUGUGUGCCAGCCCCCCGAGCUGUGCUCAGCUCUCUCCAGUUCCCGAUGUGCCUCCAUGGGCCCUGACUGCGUGCCGGGCUCUGCUCUCACCUCAGGGUUUCCAAGGCUGCCAGGGCGGCUCAUGGCCCUCCCGAGGGGGGGGCAAGACCCCUGCGGCGAUUUCCAGCUGGCAGGAGCAGCCUCCCAAGCGCCUUCCCUGUCCCGAGGCUCCAGAAACAAAUGCCCCGGCCGGGAGGCACCGGUACCUGCUGUGGGAGCCAUCGAGGCCGGCACACCCCGGCUGCGAACCACGGGCCGGGAAGGCCGCGGCUGCCGGCCGCGAGUCACCACAGCGGCGGCGGCUGCCGCACCCGGCCAGGCCUAUGCCAAAGGCUCUAGCAGGCGCCUGAGGCAGCAGCUCCAAGCGAGACAGGGCUCUAGCUUUUCCCUCAUGCAGAGCCCUGCUUGUGGAGCUGGCUGGGGGCUGCUUUGUGGCCCAGAGAUGCCUGCCAAGCCUUUGAACUUCCAGAUGGGAACUGAUUUGGCCCCUACGAGUACUGAAAGGAUGCAAAAAGGUCUCUCCGGAGCCUUCUCAGGCUGAACAACCACAGCUGUCUCAGCCUAUCUUCACUGGCAAGCUGACCCUUUCCUCUGAUCAUUUUUGGGGCCUUCUCUGGACCUCCUCCAUCAGGUCCAUGUCUUUCCUGUACUGACACCCCAGGGAUGAAUGCAACACUCCAGGUGGGGUCUCACAAGAGUGGGGUAGAGGGGGAGAAUCAUCUCCCUUGACCUGCUGGCUGUGCUGCCUUGGAUGCAGCCCAGGAUACGAUUGGCCAUUAGAAUGAAAAGGCAGCAGGGUAGACUCAGACCCACUGGGAGCGUCUGUCCCUGUGCCCUGGGUCAGUCCUUGGUUGUAGCUGAGCUUGGCAGAGGUGGUGCCUGCUCCCUGUCUCUGCUGGACCCCUCCUCUGUGGGUCUAGCACGGUGUCUGCCCUACAACACAGACAGCGGCUCGCAAGACCUUCAACCUUUUUCACUUUUCCUUUUUGGAUACCUUUGUGUCUCCUCUUGGACAGAGUCCCACCCUCAGUGGCUGUGGUGUGUGCUGGGUGCAGUUUUGGUUGAAGUCUCUGUUUGAAGGCUGGCCUGGGAUGGUCACAGUGCUGACAAGACUCUGCCCUGCAGGUGCUCCAGGCUGGGAUCCAUCAGUGAGGUCUGGUGAAAGUUGCUGUCGUGGCUAAUGGGGAUUAAUGGUCCAACUUCAAACCCCCUAAACGACAUAUACUCUGUAUCCCUCCCACACACACCCAGUGGCUGAAUCCAGGAUGUGAAAUGAUGCCUUUCAUUUCCUUGUGGCUCUGAGGAUUUCAUGCCCAGCAACAGGACAGGCUGACCAAGGCACUGAGUGAUUACACAGCUGCCUGUGAUGUUCAGGAGCAGCAGCUGGAGAUGCCCCUUCCCACUAUGUCCAUGUGCAAGAGCUGAUUACAAACUGCAGGGAAAAGUGGCAGCAGGGCUGGAGAAAUGUGUCACAGAAAAUGUGCUGCUGUCACUGAAGCCUCCCCACGUGGGGAGUGUUGGUGUCAGUGGAGCUCCAGGGAGCCCAGCCCAGCACGGGAGUGGUGCUGUGGGCUCAGGGGAACCUGAGUUUUCCAGAGGGGCUUGAGUGUCCCCAGGCACUUGGAAAAGCACAACAGUGUGCAGUGCUGCUUGAGAAACCGGUGACAAGGGGACAGUUGGCCCCAAGGGAUUAACAGAGGGGAGGCCAAGGAGAAGCCUUGGUCAGAGAAGUCAGGACACCUUUCUGAUGUGGCCAGUUGGAGGAAGAGCACAGAGAGGGGGUUGUGGAAGGGGCAGAGCAGUGGGAAGCCCGGUUCUGCUGCUGGCUUGAGUGAUGGGAGUUUGUGCCUGCUGAGGUACAUUUUUGUAACAGAAAGGAAAACACACAAAACUGACAUUU